rnacentral:rRNA from 1 species
CCUACGGGAGGCAGCAGUGGGGAAUAUUGCACAAUGGGGGAAACCCUGAUGCAGCGACGCCGCGUGAGUGAAGAAGUAUUUCGGUAUGUAAAGCUCUAUCAGCAGGGAAGAAAAUGACGGUACCUGAUUAAGAAGCCCCGGCUAACUACGUGCCAGCAGCCGCGGUCAUACGUAGGGGGCAAGCGUUAUCCGGAUUUACUGGGUGUAAAGGGAGCGUAGACGGCAGCACAAGUCUGGAGUGAAAUGCCGGGGCUUAACCCCGGAACUGCUUUGGAAACUGUGCAGCUAGAGUGCAGGAGAGGUAAGUGGAAUGCGUGGUGUAGCGGUGAAAUGCGUAGAUAUUAGGAGGAACACCAGUGGCGAAGGCGGCUUACUGGACUGUAACUGACGUUGAGGCUCGAAAGCGUGGGGAGCAAACAGGAUUAGAUACCCCAGUAGUC